CUCGAACAUGACGAUUCGAAGAACACGGUCGCCUUCCGAACCCGGAAGCUAAGGCCUGGUCGCGGCGAUGGUACUGCACUCGAGAGGGUGUGGGAGAGUAGCACGCCGCCGCAUU
rnacentral:rRNA from 1 species